rnacentral:lncRNA from 1 species
AUUAAGAGCAUUUGCUACUCUUGUAGAAGACCUGGAUUCAGCUCCCAGCACUCGGAGGCUUACAACUGCUUGUAAGUCUGGCUCUAGGGAACCUGCUGGGUGGAGCUGCAGAGAAGGUUCAGGGAUGCCCAGAUCCCCAGCUACUGAUAUGCCGGGUAGCUCACAUCAUCACUUGGAAUUGCACCACUUUGAACUGGCCAGCUGCUCUUGAGCAAGUGGCAGUUAAAGAACAUGCUGCGGGGCCUGCGAUUUAUGUUAGUGAUGACUUGGUGUCUGGAUUUGAUGCCAGAGACCAGGCAGAAAACACCGCUUUGCAGCUGGAAAAGCUGGAGGUCCAGAAUGCUCCCAGCUGGGGAAGCAGCUACAGUCCGGAGGCUCCCGAGACAAAAGGGUGCACAUGCUUGGUGUGUGCUGGAGAGGAGGACAAGGAUCUGUGAAAAGGGGAAGGCCAGCUUCUUCAGGCGUCAUGGAGAGAAU